GUCUCUGUGGCUGGUUCUGCGGCGUGCGGCCAGCCAUGGAGCGCUCUGGGCCCAGCGAAGUGACAGGCUCAGACGCAUCGGGACCGGACCCGCAGCUUGCGGUCACCAUGGGCUUCACGGGGUUCGGUAAAAAAGCUCGCACAUUUGACUUGGAAGCAAUGUUUGAACAAACUCGAAGAACAGCUGUGGAAAGAAGUUGCAAAACACUGGGGCUGGUGAAUUACCAGAUCUCCGUCAAGUGCAGUAACCAGUUCAAGUUGGAAGUGUGUCUUUUGAAAUCAGAAAACAAAGUCGUGGACAACCAGGCUGGGACCCAGGGCCAGCUGAAGGUGCUGGGUGCCAACCUCUGGUGGCCGUACCUGAUGCACGAACACCCCGCCUACCUGUACUCGUGGGAGGAUGGUGAUUGCUCACACCAAAGCCUUGGACCCCUCCCAGCCUGUGACCUUUGUGACCAACUCCACCUACGCAGCAGACAAGGGGGCUCUGUAUGUGGAUGUGAUCCGUGUGAACAGCUACUACUCUUGGUAUCGCAACUACGGGCACCUGGAGUUGAUUCAGCUGCAGCUGGCCGCCCAGUUUGAGAACUGGUGUAAGACAUCACAAUCCCAUUAUUCAGAGCGUGUAUGGAGUGGAAACGCUUGUAGGGUUUCACCAGGAUCCACCUUGAUGUUCAGUGAAGAGUACCAGAAAAGUCUGCUAGAGCAGUACCAUCUGGGUCUCAAUCAAAAACGCAGAAAAUACGUGGUUGGAGAGCUCAUCUGGAAUUUUGCCGAUUUCAUGACUAACCAGUAUUCAGAAGGAACCAAGCUGCUGCUUCUACAUGUUGCUGAGAAAUCUGCUGGGUUAAAUGUCCAAUUUCACUGCACACAAGUUCCACCUUCCGCAAAACACAAGAGCAUGAAUACAAUUCAAAAAAGUUUGUUUCCACUUUUCAACAUGGAUUGCUUUUGCUCCAUUUUCCAAUAACAUAUUCAUUUCCAUUUGAGACUCCAACAGAAUGACCUUUACUGUCCAUAUUUUAUCAAUAUUCUGUUCAUGAUUAUUUAAUUAUUUUCUGAGAAGACAGCGUUUUCUUCUAUAUUUCUUUCCGAGCCCUCACGAGAAUUGGCUUUUAAAUUUUUUCCACAGUAAUCUAGCAUUUUGCAUAAAACCUCAUCAAUCUCUGCCAAUCACUGAGCCCAAAACCAUUUUCACUUUGUUUUAGGUAUUUAUAAUAACAGCACUCCCACUUCUCAUGAUCAAUUUCCAUCUUCAGCAGUUCAGGCUGCUUUAAUAAAGUUCCAUAACCUGAGUGGCUUUUAAAUAACGGAAUGCACAUCUCACAGUUCUGGAGGCUGGAAGUCCAACAGCAGAGAGCCAGCAUAAUUGGGUUCUGGUGAGAGAGCUCUCUUGGGUUUCAGACUGCUGCCUUCUCAAUGCAGCUUCACAUGGUGGACAGAAAGAGCUCUCAAGAGUCAUUUUUAAGGGACUAUAGUUUACACUAAUCUGUUGUAUGUUUCAAAAUAGCUAGAAGAUAUAGCUAUAGUUUGUGUCUACCAUAAGGCAAAGAAAUUUAUUUGAGAUGAUUGGCUACCCCAGUUAUACUGAUUUCAUCUUUACAAAUUAUAUCGUUGUAUUAAAUUACCACAUAUACUCUCAAAAUAUGUACAUCUAUUACUAUAUAUUAAUGAAAUAAAUUAAAAAGUUGAGAAAUAAUAGAAAAC
ensembl:lncRNA GUSBP1 GUSB pseudogene 1